rnacentral:lncRNA from 1 species
AUGGCGGCGGCGACGGCACGCGCGGGUAUCACGGCGGGGAUUGCCGGCGGUUGCCCAAGGUAGGGGACGACCCUGACGAGGGGGUCCCACGCGUCAGUCGCUCGGGCGCGCGUGCCGACCGGUUCGGAUCGGUCAGUCGGGCGGGACUGGGCCGGUUCGGCCCAAAACGGCCGGGCCGGUUCGGUUUCUACUUUUUUUUUCUUUUAGCCUUUUCUUUUUCUGGUUUUCUUAUUUCUUUCAUAUCUUUUGAUUUUGGACUCCUAAUUGGUCCAAAUAAAUUCCAAAAAAAUUGUAAAAUUAUGUUUUAUCAUGAUUCAACUUUGGGAGUGAUUUCCCCUUAAAAUAAAAUAUCUAAAACUACAUUUUCCCUAUAAAUGUAUUUAGGGCUAUAUAACUAUUUAAAUAAAAUACUUUUUGAACUCCAAAUAAUUAUCCAAAAAUUAUGGAAUAAACCCCUUUUAUACAUAAACCCUAUUGGUUUGAAGGUCCAAAGCUCAAAUGGGUGUAAACCCUAAUGUUUAAUUGGAAUAAAAUCUUUCCAAAGCCUUUUGAGAUUCAAAUUUGAAUUCAAAUAUGCAAUUGUGGCAUGAUGCUCAUGGAUGCAAUGCACAUGUAAAAGUUUGAAAUUUUUGGGAUGUUACAGACAAUCCGGCCAAAUCGGUGUCGGUUCUAAACUUUGAUCUGGAACGUGUCCAUUUGAGGUACUAGGAUGAUCACACCAAACAAAGCUACUAAUCGAAGCGAAACAAGACUAGACCACUUGUACAGACUCGCUAGGUAUGGUCCCUCACUAGGACGGACAAUCUGGCAAAAUCGGAGUCGGUGCUAAACUUUCCUCCGGAAUGGGUCCAUUUGGCGUUAUAAGAUGAGCACACCAAACAAAACCUACUCAUCGAAGCGAAACAAGACGAGACCACUUGUAGGGACUCGCUAGGCACGGUCCCUUCCUAGGACGGACAAUUCAUCCAAAUCGUAGUCGGUGCCAAACUCUGAUCCGGAACGUGUCAAUUUGACGUACUAGGAUGAGCACCCCAAACAAAUCUACUCAAUCAAGCGAAACAAGACUAGGCCACUUGUACGGACUCGCUAGGUAUGGUCCCUCACUAGGACGGACAAUCCAGCCAAAUCGGUGUCAGUGCUAAACUUUGAUCUUGAACGUGUCCAUU